GAUUUCUGGUCUGGUGCGCCUGGCCCGCUGCAAUUAGCAUGUGGGUGCCGGGUCGCGCCUGCCAUCCUUCUAGAAAACGUAUCUACCCUUCACUGGGCCGGAUACGCUAUCUAGAUCUUUUACUUUGAAAAAAUUAGAGUGUUUCAAGCAGGCUUUAUGCUAUGAAUACAUUAGCAUGGAAUAAUAAUUUAGGACUUCGGUUCUAUUUUGUUGGUUUCUAGGACUGAAGUAAUGAUUGAUAGGGACAGUUGGGGGUGCUAGUAUUCAGCGGCCAGAGGUGAAAUUCUCGGAUUCGCUGAAGACUAACUUAUGCGAAAGCAUU
rnacentral:rRNA from 1 species